rnacentral:rRNA from 1 species
CGUGUAGGCGGCCAGGUAGGUCUGCUGUGAAAACUCGAGGCUUAACCUCGAGAUGUCGGUGGAAACCAUCUGGCUAGAGUCCGGAAGAGGAGAGUGGAAUUCCUGGUGUAGCGGUGAAAUGCGCAGAUAUCAGGAAGAACACCCGUGGCGAAGGCGGCUCUCUGGGACGGUACUGACGCUGAGACGCGAAAGCGUGGGGAGCGAACA